GUAGCUAACUACGUCAGAUUACAUUAUGGAUGUGAACUAUGGAUAAUUAAUUUAAUUUCCUGCGCCAGAUGUGAUACAGAUCGACUAGCAUGUAUCUGGUCCAAAAUCUGGGUUUUCUCAAACCCAUUGAUUUUUGCCCCAAAGAGAGGUAUUGUCCUGCAGCAUAAAAGGGGGUUUAUUUUCAGAACUAAAGUAGGAGAUCACAGUUAUUUAAGGAGAUAUUUCCUGUCCUAUUUCCUAUUAUGUCUAGCAGUUUUCCAACACAUUAUGGGGUGAUUGAUUAGUUUUUGGACUCUCAUUACCUAUUGCCCAGCCUGUCAUGAAGGGGUCAUUUUCCAGAAUUGAACAGAUAUUUAUUGGGAGGAUAUUUUAUGAUCAAGUGAGCCCACAGCCAGCUGGUGAAUACAAAUUGAAGACUCAAUUGCCAAUACAUGGAGGACUUCUACAGCUGUUAUAGUUAGGUAGGUUUCUAUUGGGAUUUGUUUAUGUUUUGGUUUUAUUAGUUAACUUAUAUAUAAUUCUGAAGUUAGAAGGUUCCUGCUUGGAGUUGGGCCUUUCAUGCAAGGUUUAAGAUCUUGAUCUUGCCCCUAAUAUCGAUAAAAAGAAUGGUUUUGAGAAUUUAUUUUUACCUAAAGCUGCUCUCGAGAAGAAAAGGAUCUCUAAAGGUUGAUGAUGAAGUGAUAAUCUUCAACCUCCAAGUGUUGAAGUUGUUAAUCUACACUGUAGAGGAGAAAUUUGACAAGAAAAUCCACGAGAAGUUCAUUUUUCUUCACAGCAAGGCAAGAUAGGCAAGAUGUGUCGAGGUGGAGCGAGUUGAGGGUUGAAAUUAUGUAUAUACCCCAUGUGAUUUGGUCUUGGGACGAGUCGAGAUUGAGAUAUUCACUGAGAUCUCGACCGAGAUAUUGCACUUUUUAUGUAUUGCCUCAUCUCGUCUCACCAUUUUCAAAUAGCGAUAUCUCACCGAAUUCUUAAACCGUGCUUUCAUGUCCUCGUCUGACAUUAUUUGGUAUUAGAGCGAAGGAGGGGUGGUAGAUAAGAUUAACGUUUGCUGAAAUCUACUUCCCAUUGAAGGCUGACCGUGCUAGUCUGAUUUGACAUUUCUACCAAACUCGUGGAUGAGUUUUUUAAAGAUGAGGAGAGCUGACGUAGAUCGACUAGCAUGUCCAUGUACCUUGUUAAUUCUGGGUUUAUUCUUAUCCAUUUAUUUUUGCCCAUAAAAGGGGAUCUAUUUCCAGAAUUAAAGUACGAGAUCACAGUUAUUUAAGGAGAUAUUUUCUGUCCUAUUUCCUAUUAUAUUGAGCAGUUUUCCAGCACAUUAUGAGGCUAUUGAUUAGUUUUUGGAGACUGUCAUUAGCUAUCAGCCAGCCUGUCAUGAAGGGGGUUAUUUUCCAGAAUUGAGCAGAUAUUGAUUAGGAGAAUAUUUUGUGAUCAGGUGGGCCCCACAGCCAGCUGUUGAAUACGAAUUGAAGACUCAAUCGCCAAUAUGAGGACUCCUAUAGCUGUUAUAAUUAGAUGGAAGGCUGCUGCUCCCCCACUCACCGCCUUUUCUAUGGUGAGAAUUGAAUGAGGUAUACCCCCAGCUUAGCUGCCAAUAUAGUUAAAAGCGAAGCAUCUUAUUCACUGACUAAUGGAGUACGUAACGAGUCAUCUUUAGAGUGGAUUUGGAAAAUAUCUUGACAUUUGCACUUGGUUAGUACUUUCUCAGGUUAUAGAUGUGUACUUACUCUAUCCCUGCCCCAGUGAGAACAAACUGUUAAUAUUGAAGAGAAGUGGAAGAAAGGCUAGUGGAACCUGUCUGAUGUAGGGUGACACCUUUCUCCCUUGAGUUUGCAGACUUUUGAUCCAUCAUUUGCUGAUGUGUUCUGUUUCCUUUAGAAAAUGAGCAUGGUCGGCUGCUUAGGCAUUGGCUUCAUAUGUAAGUGUCCAUCUCAAUCCAUGCGUGCCAUGAACAGCACAAUACCUUAUCGUGAUUAAUGCAUGGUCCAUUACGCCACUGGGGAAGCCUGUCUUUUUAAUCACAUACCCAUCCCACAACUUGAUUUGGGAGCUUUUAGUGUUUAGAUUUUGAAGGCAGCCUUCUUGUGGAUGUAUGUGGUUAUAUUCGCAGCUUUCGGAACAUAAAUCCAUAUUUGAAUGAACAGAGGCAGAUCAGAAGUUGCGUUGUCUUUUUUUUUGUUUCCAGGCAGGUAAAACUUCAUCACAGGCUACCAAAAGUGAUUUUCCAUAUAUGAACUAAAUCGAUAGAUUGGUUUUUUUGGGGUUUGGAGUCGAUCUGAUGGUUCUGAUUUGUGAAAUUCCAUUCCCAGAAAUUUCAAAAUUUGUAUUCAAACUCCGUAGUGCUAAAGUAAGCCGCGUGGCUAUCAUGUGUUAUUUUUCAGAAUUACAUUGCCAAUGGAAUUUAAAUAUGUAUCUCAGCAGUCA